CCAUUUUUAGCAUCAGUUAUAUGUCCACAGUCACUGGUAUAGGGAACUUGGAUUAUGGGUCUCCAGUGCUUCUAAAACCUGCACUGAAGUAGCUCCUUUCUGCACAAAUGUGGUUUCCAUCUGUCCAGAAGGCUGGACUUUGCAGGAUCUCAGUACUGUGGGAUGGGCUGCUACUUAUUCUUCUCAUUUUGAGUAAAAGGAGACUGCCUUUGGGAACUUGUACGGAGCCUGGCACCAUGGGUUUCAGCUCUAAACAAAGCAGCAAUCUCACAGAAGUAUAAAGAAUAAUGUGUGAGGGUUAGAAUGGGAUAAAACCCAUCAUUUUCUGCAG